UAAAAUUACGUACAGGGUCUCGGAUUAUGCCGGCCCGGCCCUGUGGCCGAGAUGGCGCUCGCCGAGGUGGCUGCCAUGAUGUAGGUGGGCGCCGACGACGACGGUGACGCACUCAUUCUUGCGACGCUCGGGAUGCAGCGGCGGAGGAUGAGCUCAUUUUUGUCGACCGGGAGCUUGAUGUUGGCGCUGGGGCUGGCCGGAGCCCUAUCAAGCGCAGGGUGGAGUUCAAGCUACCAGAGAGGUAAAGGCCCUUGUCCCCAAAUGUGAUUCCAGAUCUGGUUUACGCUUCAAAAUCUAACUACAUGCAGGUUUCAUUUUAGUUUCCAACAACACUUAUUUUACUUUUCCCCAAUCUAAACUUUAGCUCUUGAUAAAUGGAGGGCGUUUUAGGAUGUUAGCAGCGAGUUUAGAAUAUCUCCAAGAGCGCCUAAUAAUUAGUCUCCCAAUAGCUUUAACUUAGGAUCUCCUAAAAAAUAUUAAGGGAUAAAAAAGACUAGUUCUCCAACAGUACCUUUUUCUAGUGUUGCUACCAUUGGCCAAUUCCAGCAGCGGGUAGAUGAACAAGCACUAGGUUGUCAAAAUGAAAAGGUAUUAAUAUGAAAUGUUCAGCAUAUUGACUUGCUACAAAAAUAAUUAGGUCAGUCUGAGAAGAUAACACAACAAUCAAGUCAUCAGUUACCUACAAUACCUCCUCUAAACGUGUUGCUGCUGGCCAGUUUUCCUAGUGCUGCUACCAUUGGCCAAUUCCAGCAGCGGGCUGAUGUCUACUUCUCUACCUAGUAGCCUGAAGUUUUUUGUUUUCCUUUUAAUUGUCUCACUCUUAUACCCACAUUCACAGCUGCGACUGAGCAACACAUGAAAAGCUGGGACCAGAUUCAAGAGGGAUAGAGGCAAGCAGCCAACACGCAGAAGCUCACCUGCUCAGGUCAUUCCCAAUUUGAUUAAUUGAAUUGGAUUUUGAUCAUAUGGAAUUAUGUAUUGCAAUUGCAAUGUAGGAACUAGGAUAUACCUAUAUAAAUCAUUAUUUAUGUAAUUAAAAUAGGGAUAUGUUUAUUUCCUUGAUCAUCAACAUGUCUACGGGAAAUAGAACGUACGAUUCACGUACGAAGAAAAGACAAAAGAUUAUAAGCAAUAGCUAAAAUAUGAUAAGCAUACUCCUGAGAUAUUUCUGCAAAUUUUAUGAAAUGAUAAUAAGAUAUUUAUGCAAAUUGUUAUAUAUGUUUUAUCUCCACAAACAUUCUUUAGAUUUGAUAUCCUUUUUAACCUUUAGAUUCUAAGAAUGUGCUCAGUCUGCAUUGCAUGCACACAAUAGUUUAAGAAAAAAUAGCAAGAAAGAGAUAAAUGUCCUAGAAGAAAAUAGAUGAAUUAACAGGGCAGUUAGAACCUUUUGUCAAAGAAGUUUUGGUCUCUGGAUUCAAUGUAAUAACGACUAACAUUAUUUUAGCCUCACGAUUUUCUUUAAUGGUCUAGCUUUGUAAUUGAUAACAUAAUUUUUUUUGGUUGAACUGUCAUAAAUUUAUGACAGUAUAAUCGAUGCAGCCAUUAUAUAGUUUUCUUUGUUGCGAUUAUGCUGCUCAUUAUCUGUCAAUCUGUAUAGUUUGCAUUACAUAAAUUCAUUUUAUGCCCAGAUUCUGGAAGCAAACCUUCUCGUAACUCAAAUGUUACAUAAACUGUAAUUCUGCUUUACUACAUCUCAUAUUUACAUAUCAGCGUAACUCAAAUGUUUACCUUCACUGUUAUGAGAUACAUUCACUAUUAUGACUGUAUCGAUGGAUUUGUCAAGUCAUACAUACAACCAGUACAUACAAAUUUAUCAUGUCGUUUUAUAUUUUGCCAUAAGGCAGCAUAUGGUACUAAUGUGUAGCUAACACAUUUUUCUUGGCUUGCAGGACAACACCAGGGAUCUACGGUUUCUUGCACUGUACUGCAUCACAUUCCAUCGCAAGAACAAAACCAUCCCGCUCCUUGCAAACAUCCAAAGAUACAAGUUUUCACGGAUGUAGUCUAGUUUAGAUAUGUUAGAUAUUAUGUCUACAAUAUUUCAUAAACUUUAUCAGGAGUUAUGUGCGUAUAUUAUGGUAAUGACGAUAGAACAAUCAUGUGUCGAUGUUGAUGUUUCUUAUGUUAUGUUAACGACAACCUGGGAACCGUAAUGGAUAAACUGUAAUGUUUUCUAUGUUUUUAACGUCAUGUGUGUUAUUUUUUAUUUGAUCAGUAUGUUGCAUAUCAUUGUGAACUCUAUGUGGACCUAGAACCACAUGUAUAGUAUAUUAUGACCCGUUUUUAUUGGUUACGUUACUUUUGUCACAAGUUUAUGCUACAAACAGCAUCGUGUUAUGCUUAUUUUUACACAUAAUGCGCAAACUAAGUUACUUUGUGUAGCUGUGUAAGUUGUUGAUAUGUGUAUAAUGGUUACGAUACUUUUACAGCACUACUUUCCCAAUCUCAAACUAACCCAGAUCUAUGCACAC
rnacentral:lncRNA from 1 species